AUUGAACGCUGGCGGCAGGCUUAACACAUGCAAGUCGAGCGGGGUGAUGGUGCUUGCACUAUCACUUAGCGGCGGACGGGUGAGUAAUGCUUAGGAAUCUGCCUAUUAGUGGGGGACAACAUCUCGAAAGGGAUGCUAAUACCGCAUACGUCCUACGGGAGAAAGCAGGGGAUCACUUGUGACCUUGCGCUAAUAGAUGAGCCUAAGUCGGAUUAGCUAGUUGGGGGGGUAAAGGCCUACCAAGGCGACGAUCUGUAGCGGGUCUGAGAGGAUGAUCCGCCAGACUGGGACUGAGACACGGCCCAGACUCCUACGGGAGGUAGCAGUGGGGAAUAUUGGACAAUGGGGGGAACCCUGAUCCAGCCAUGCCGCGUGUGUGAAGAAGGCCUUAUGGUUGUAAAGCACUUUAAGCGAGGAGGAGGCUCUUUUGGUUAAUACCCAAGAUGAGUGGACGUUACUCGCAGAAUAAGCACCGGCUAACUCUGUGCCAGCCGCCGCAGUAA
rnacentral:rRNA from 1 species